ensembl:lncRNA
CGCGGGGAGCGGCGGCGGCGGUGGAGCGGGGGGCGGCGGCAGCUGUCAGAUGGCGUUCCCCGGCAGCCAGCCGCUGUACCGCGCCUCCGGGGCCUUCGUCUACGACUGCGGCAAGUUCUGAGCGCGGCCCGCCGCCCGCCGCCCGCGUGCGGGGCGGUGAGAGGCCGGCGGCGCCCGCUCCCACGUAAGUGUCGCUUUCUUUGGUCGAUCGCUUCCCAGCAGCGCUCUCCCCCCGCGCCCCGUCCCGUGAGGUAUCGCCGCGCCCCGCUUCCGCACCCCCCACCCGCCCUCCUCCCCCCCCCCUCCUCCUUUCCACCCGGACAAGGACUUGUUUGAAAGUGUAAAUUGCCACAUAGUAAUUUAUUUUUAAUUCGUAGUUGGAUGGUGCGGACCAAACGCCACAAAGUGUUUCCCCCUACCCCGGGAAGGGUCGUUAACACGGACUGAAACGCUGAUUUAUUUUUUUUUUUUCCACUCCAUAUAGACAAAAAAAAAAAAAAAAAAGGGAAACUGUAUUAAUCUUAUUCUAUCAAUAUUUUUUCCUGUUUUUUUUUGUUGUUGUUGUUUUUUUUUUCGUUGAAAAUAUCCCGAAGGUAUCGCGUUGUUUGUUUAUUAAUAAAUUACCGUUCAGUUGGAAUGACCCUGCCCACGUCUGCAUACUUUCUCGCUUUGCUUUUGGAGAGGGCGAGAGAGGGGGAAGAGAAGGGUUCCGUGGCUCCCGCGGGGCGACGGCACUGCGCGGCCCCUCCGCGCAAAUCCCGCGCACCGCCGGCUCCGAAAAUCCCACUUCUGUCCCUUCCGCUCUGCGUUCCCCUCGCUCGGCUCGCCCCGUACGUCGGGAACGAACCCCUGCGGGGGCAGCUCGGGGCUGGCGAGCAAACAAACGCGUUUUCUCCGCAGUGAAUGGCUGAAAGCGGCGGUGCGGCCCCGGCCCGGUCCCUGCGCUGCUGUCGGUGCACGCACACGGGCCGACCCCUACGCGUUGCCCAUGUGUUUGUAAGCGGGAUUUGCGCGUGGAUCUCUAUUUAAAGAAGGGUCGCGUAUUUCUUGCUAGAAGCGCACCGCGUGUGUUUCUAAACCCCGCGGUGGAUCUUAGAUGGCAGAUAGUCUCUACCGUGUGCUUUCUUAAGUGUGCCGUGGGCGCAGAAAUCGCUGCUUUGCGCACUUGGCACCGGGGCCGCUCCCGUAGCGCAGCUCUUCAUCUCCGAAGGGAACGAAACGUUGGGUCGCACCGCCGUGCCUCUGCCCCUCUCCUGUCCUUUGGGGACCUCCCCGCUCCGCUGGGACGGCCCCACUGCUCCGGUGCGGAUCCGAUUAGGAAAAGUUGGAGGGGAGAAUUUUUCCUAUGUAGUUUUUAACUUUUUUUCCCCCCCCCGUCUCUCCCCUCCCUCUUUAUUCUUUAAACCUGACAAAAUAUAACGUAUUUCCACGGCCACGAUGGACGAAUGGAUCGCAGUGUGACAUUCUGUCCGAGCGGGAAUGUCACCUUCUGCUCAAUUUGCAAUUACGGACCUACGGGCAUUGGGGAUCGCCUCCCCCUUCGCAAACAGCCACCAAAGUGCCAUAAAUUCAUUAAGUUGAAAGGCUGUGCCCUGUCAGUCAGACUUGGGGAGAAGGCGAUUCGAUUGCAGAUAUUUAAGGCCUAAAGUUUGCUCGCAAGAUAAUGCCGUUUCCUAUCAGCGCCUCUUAUCGGGAGGCGACACUCAGCAGUAAUUGCUGCCGCAUUGCUGAGUUUGCACUGUAAAUAAAUACAGAGGUGUUCACCUCAGUGCCCCGCUUUUGGGCAGCUCUUCCUCUCCGGAGCAGCUAUAAUCACAACGCACCUUCAGCACACCGACCUCGGGGGUUACUGCAUAAGGGAGCCUAGAAAUCGGUUUAUUUAAAUAGCUCACUGUCUUUUAAAUUGUUCUGUGUAAUUCUUUGGUUUCAUUUUGUUUUUCCCGUGAUAGCACCUGUGAAGAAAUUUUCGGCCCUAUUUCCGUCUCUGUGUUCGUUGAGUUGGGUCCGAAGAGCCCCCUCCUCCUCCUCCUCCCCCCCGCGCCGCCGCACCGUUGUGUUAACGCUGGAGCGAAGGAGAAAUGGAGCGGAGCGCUCCGGGCCAUUUCUGAUGGCAGACCCCCGCUCCCAGCGUCGAGCGCUGCACCCCGCUCCUGUUUUCGCCUUUUUCUCCUCCCAAAAUGGAGCUCCGGCGGCGAGCGGGGUCUGUCCCCGCGGUGCCUGCGUGGGAUCGGUGUUUCUCUCGAGACUGAACGCCAAAAUCAAUGUUAAGGCGCGGGGAGGGCAGAGCGGCGAUUGCAUGUAAUGGUUGCGCGGUAUUUUCGGUGCUCAGAGGCACCGAUUUCCCCGCACCCCCGGUUUUCUCGGCGGCGGCGGGGGGUGGGGGUGGGGAACGAACAGCGAGGAGAGAGGGGCUCGUUUCGUGCCGCUGCUCUGCCGGGGGAGAAUGGGGCCGUGAGGCGUUCCAACGAGUGCCGCCCGUACCUUCCACUGUCCCUGCGCGGGGGGCAGGGACACGUCCCGCCGGAUUCCCGGUUCUUUCUGGCGACCCCCCCGCUCCCGAAGGUCCUGUGGGGAGGCACGGCAGAGGGCACGCGCGGGGUUCGUUAUUUUGUAUUUCUUUUUUGUUAAUUAUUAUUAUUAUUUUUCUCCUCCCUCCGCACAGAACUAUAACGCGGAGAAUGGAAAUGGCGCUGCGCGGGUUCUGCGUGGGUCUCCCCGCAGAGCCGGGCCUCCCCCAUCACCACGGAGCCGCCAUCCGACCCUGCGCGCAGCGCGUAUCUCCCUGCGAAGCCCCUGCGAAGCAGAGGGACGGGGCUGCUCGGCCCCGUUCUGCCGCGGGGCAUUCCGCGGGUGAGGGGGCAGCGCGCAGCUCCACGCUGUGUUUCAGCCUGAGCCGAAUCUCAAAAGCUAUUGCUUUGCGUGUUGUCCAAGGGAAGAAAAAAAAAUCUCGCCUUAAAACUGUUGUUUUUAAUUUGAGGGACCGCUCCGUUUGGCUGGCCGCGGUGGUUUCUUAUUUGUGUUUAAUUGUCUGUCACCGAAAUGGAGGGGAGUGUGAGGUCACAACCAAAAGCAGUGGGGAAGCGCACUGCAGAAAAGAUGUGGAUUUAAAGCCCUUCCCCACCUCCGCGGCCCCGGUCAAAGGGAGAACGCGGUGCGACUGUUUGUGUCGCGGCUGGAGGCCUUACGGGGAGUGUUACCAAACGUAUGUCUUACGAAAGCGGGGCCCUUGCGGAAAUCUCAUGGACAGAGCUCCGAGGUGAGCACGGCCGUAUUUUCAAAAUAGAGCGCAGCUCCGUGGCGCGAUGGGUGACCUCUGGGCUGCACUCCGGCAGCACUCUUCCCUCUGCGCCUGUCCCCACAAAACUUGGGGCUGAGGCGAGCGAGGUUGGAUUUGCGCUGCCGGGGGCUUUUGUUGCGCGCAGAGGGCAGCGGCGGCGACGGGCCGGGGCCCACGUGAAGAGGAACGCGAAGUAACGAUGCUCGAGGUUUCCCGUGUCGUCCUCACGGCGUGAGCAACAGCGGAGCGCCGGACCCGCGCGUCGGUAGUAGAAGAGCGACCUGCGCGCCUCGUGGGGUGAAUGCUCCCGCAUCCUCGGUCGGAAAUCACCGAUUUCGGGAAUAACCGCUAAUUGAACGUUAGCUUUCAAUUAAUCUCAGUGCGAAGUCGUUUAAAUGUCGGCGCAAUCACUCCGUUCCCCCUCGCUUGCCCGACGGCUCGGUUAUUUUGAUAUGCGCGGUUUUUGGAAGGACUGCGAGGCGCGCAGGGGCAGCGGCGGUGCCGUCGGGGCGGCUGAGACCGAGUGGCCGCUGCGCGGGCGCGCAGGUGGCGUGCGGAGGAGCACAGAGGGGCAGCGCGCAGAGCAGGUUGCGCGAGUUUUAGUCCGCCGGACCUCGACCCGAGCCCCACGGGCCGGGAGGAUCCCGCUCGCCCUUCCCGUGUGAAUUUUGUUUCUUUUUUUACCCCCCUUUUAUUUCCCCCUCUCCCUUUCCUGCCCACGGCGCGUCCUCCCCGAAGGUGGUGCGGUGCCGCGGUGCGCGGAGCCCUCCCGACUUCAUGACGGCGGCGCUCAUAAAGCCAUUCGCUUCUUUCCAAAGCCAUAAACAAACGUCGUGUUAGGUCAAGAUUGAUGGUGUCCAUGCAAUAAAACCGGGCCAGGUCAGGAAGGAAUAAAAUUCAAUCAGAGCGCGCGGAAUCAUUUUUCAGGGGACAGAAAGACAGAAAAGGAGACGGGGG